rnacentral:rRNA from 1 species
UACGGAGGGUGCAAGCGUUAUCCGGAUUCACUGGGUUUAAAGGGUGCGUAGGAGGGCAGGUAAGUCAGUGGUGAAAUCUCCAAGCUUAACUUGGAAACUGCCGUUGAUACUAUCUGUCUUGAAUACCGUGGAGGUGAGCGGAAUAUGUCAUGUAGCGGUGAAAUGCUUAGAUAUGACAUAGAACACCAAUUGCGAAGGCAGCUCGCUACACGAAUAUUGACUCUGAGGCACGAAAGCGUGGGGAUCAAUCAGG